ACGACUUCUUGUACGCUUCUUCGUCUGUGAUGCCGGUGACGUCAUAAAACGUCGUCACGGUCGCGGCGCCGACGUUUAGCGUUUGUUUGGAAAAACUUUACUCGAUUGAUUCCGUGGGAGUUCACGCCACAGGUGUGGACCGACGCGUGUGCAGACAGUUAGCGGACGACCUGGAUCCAGAUGUAACAGGUUCUGAGGCAUCACUGGCUGCCUUGCUGCCACUGCUGGUUACACACCGAGUCCGGACAGCAGGGGAGGAUAGAGUAUUCCUCCAGAGGGCCGGGAUACUUACAGCUGGUCUGCUGAGGUGUGGGGCUUGCCUCGGGGGUAAGCCUCUUGUAUUCUCUCCGAACGAAAAUUCCCCUUCUCCCCGUUUCCCAUUGGCUGACUUAUAACUCAAAAAGACUUUAUUGCAUGUUGGAGGUUGCAGUCUAAGAUUUAUCCAUGCAGCAUGAGGGGUCAGGCGAGAACCCUCUGGCUCAUCAGCAGGUCUCACACAAGCCUCAACACCUCUGCCAGGCAGCAUCCACCAACAACAACUCUUCCUGUGACUACAAACAAGGCAAGACACAUCGCAGCACAGUACAGAAUCAUUUCAAACUCACCAGGGGUCGCCGUCCCCACCCCCCCUGCAGUUCGAGUCAAAGAGACUGUUUUCCUGCAUCAUCCUCAGUGUUUACAUUACCGAGGCAGAGGAGUGUGGUAACGUGGCUGAUAUGCUAUAGAGUGAAGAGGGUAAGAGGAGAUCUCAAAUCCCAGUCUGACACCUACAUGAGAAGCCUUUGGAGUCCAAGCAUCCAGGUGUCAGCGCGGGUCCCGAGCUCAGCACUCGUCCUCUGCUUCUCUGAUGGGUGGAAUCGAGCUGCUUGUGGAUUUACACUGACUGACUUGGUUGACGGCGAGAGUGUUCACAGGCUUGAUCUGUAUGGUCCUCAUCAGAGUUCAAGUCUGAAAACUUCAUAAGAAACUACAAGAAACACCACAGUGUGAGGAGACCCCCAGGAAAGACCGAAGCCCCUUUGUGUUAGCCUUCUUUACCCCCAUGACGGGGGAUGGUCCUGCUCAAGGGGCAGCUGUUCUCUGCUGUUAUUAAAUGCAAACUAUAGAUAUAAUAGAAACACAUUCAGACAAACAUACACACAUUGCCUGGACCCUGCACAAGGACCCACAAGACAACACCGUCGACAGGCACAGUUCACGGACAUAGAGAGUCAGACAGCUUUAGAGGGGCACAUACUUUUGUUUGUCUCGUGAGUCCCUGCUCUUGUUGCGGUUGGUGCGGUUGGUGGUUUGGAUAGAGUGGACGGAGGAGCUCUUUUUGCUGGAGGAAUGGGAGGAAUGGGAAGAGUGGGAGAGGCUGGUUCGAGACUGGCCGGCGUUGUGGUCAAACUGCAUCAGGCAGAAUAUCAGGUCUGAGGGCACCAGCUCAAACGCAUACGGCGGAUUGGUUAUGACAUACCUGGAGGAGAGAGGGAACAGAUGGGCAGGCCAGUUCUAAAUAUAGAGUAGGUAGAAGUGAUCUUUUGUGGUUCAUAUAAAUUCAAGCACACAUUAGGUCCGUACUCACCGUUUGGUGCAUUGGCUUUGUGAGUUUAAAUGUGCGUCUCGUAACCGGUAGAUGCCAAAGCACAGCAUGUUGUAUGUUUUCAGGGCUUUACAAAACAGGUCACCAUAACAACCACCAUCCUGCAAGACAGAUACACAGUGAAGUACAAGGUCUGUAUUUUAACAUAAGGCUGUGUGUGUUCUUUUCUACUAACUAUUGUAACAUAUGAAUAUGAAAUGUAAUAUUGCUGGGAUAUUUUUUUUCCACUAAAUGUACUUAUCUGAUUAUGAAUUGAUUGGAUUAAAAUGUCAUCGUCACAGAACUCGCCUAUUUUCGGCCAUAAAAUCCCUUUUACCUGAACCCUGAAUCACAGCCUGUUAGUCUGAGUCAUUUGACUAAAGUCAGCUCCCAUAACACAAGCAGACAAAGAUGUGCUUCGCCCCCGGGUGACAAGACCAGUCACUUACCCCCAGGUCGGCGAAGGGCCCGUCGUACAAGGCCAGCUGUGCCACGCGACACCUGUCCCUGUUCGCCAGGGUCUGUGGCGUGCUGUAGCCACCCCGUAACGCAUUCUCCUCCGCCAGCAGGCCCUCCAGCUCCGGGGUCGCGCCGCCUGUUACCAGCGUCCGGAUCAAGGCAGAAGAGUGUCAAGGAAAGAUGACGUGUGCCGCGUCGAGGCGCAGAACCCACCAAGAUGACCUUCUCGAUGUCUUUGGACGGGCACCAGUGGAACAUCCCCGUGGAGUCGUAUCUCUUUAUGUUCUCGUCCAUGCUCUCUAUCUGCUCGUUCCCAGGGACGAGGAGCGGGUCGUGUCUAAUCAAACAAGAGACGGGAGGGAGGAAAUAAAAGAACAUCAUGAGACACUGCAACUCUGGAUUGAAAUGAACUGGUUCUUGGGAUUUGACUGUUAAAGCCAAAAAAGGAAAUAAA